rnacentral:rRNA from 1 species
AUUGAACGCUGGCGGAAUGCUUUACACAUGCAAGUCGAACGGCAGCACGGGGCAACCUGGUGGCGAGUGGCGAACGGGUGAGUAAUACAUCGGAACGUGCCCAAUCGUGGGGGAUAACGUAGCGAAAGCUACGCUAAUACCGCAUACGAUCUACGGAUGAAAGCGGGGGAUCGCAAGACCUCGCGCGAAUGGAGCGGCCGAUGGCAGAUUAGGUAGUUGGUGGGGUAAAGGCUCACCAAGCCGACGAUCUGUAGCUGGUCUGAGAGGACGACCAGCCACACUGGGACUGAGACACGGCCCAGACUCCUACGGGAGGCAGCAGUGGGGAAUUUUGGACAAUGGGCGCAAGCCUGAUCCAGCCAUUCCGCGUGCAGGAUGAAGGCCUUCGGGUUGUAAACUGCUUUUGUACGGAACGAAAAGGCUCUGGUUAAUACCCGGGGCUCAUGACGGUACCGUAAGAAUAAGCACCGGCUAACUACGUGCCAGCCGCCGCAGUAA